rnacentral:lncRNA from 1 species
AAAACUCGUCAAAAUGAUACUCAGCACUAGUUAUUACUUCUCUACUCGUCUCUGCCUCUCACUCGUCUCUCAUCACUCCCUCUCUUACGCCGCCGUCUCUGGGAGGUGCCACCACAACCAACGGUGCCUUACAAGUGAAGAAGCCUCCCGCCAAGUAUCGCCACAGCAAGGUCGACAGGCGCGAUUCUGUGGCGAGGCCUGCGCCUCAGGCCCGAAAACCAAAGGGACCUCAUUUUUGGACAGUAAUUCAAAAUGCCACAAGCAAAAAGCGAAAGAAAAUGGGGAAAUACAAUCAAUACCGCAUAAAUCUUAAGCCCUCCGACAUGAGGCCGCUUGGGCUGCCAAACGAAAUUUCAAUUUUGGCGACUAUUCAGGUAAGUUAAUGCUAUGUUAAUAGCAGGUUUUUUAAGUUAAAGCUGACUUUUCUAGUUUCAAGAUUCCUUGUUUGAUCGCAUUAUUGGAUUUUUGAUCUGGGAUUUGUUGCCUUCUGAUUUUCUUGGCAUUUCCAUUAUGUAAUCGGUACAUUCUUUAAUAAAAUUGUUGCUUCUCUUCAGUUCUUGUAUCCAUAGUAGUAGUUCGUACUGGUUGGACGUUAAGCAUGAGAACUUAGGACUUUAGGGAAAAGAAUAAGGAAUGCACAAAAGACGUUUGUUGCUUGGUCUAGGAAAGAUGAAAUAUGAUUGUAAAGAAUUCCUGCAAUUGUUUUAUGUUCUUUUCCUUCUCUUGACUCUCUAGCCUGAAAAAAUUGUUUUAUAAUAGGCUUGGAAAUCACUUAAAGCAUAUCAAAGGAAUAAUGGAAUUUCCCGCUUUAAUUAAUUGAGUACAUUUUGCAGACAUUAUGAACUUCUUUCCUUUUCCUAUAUUCUGGUCAUUCAUAUUUGCUGAACUGAUUUAGGAGGGCAAGGGUCAAGAAGCAGUAAAAAUUUUAUACCUAAUAUGUGUUUCUUUAAAUAGAUGACCACUGUGAAGUAUGCAGAAGUGGUAAAACUGUCAUAAGAAUAACAUGAUUUUAGUAUGAAAUUUAGCUUCGAACUCCAAAUUCUAUACUGGUUUAAUAGAUUAACGCAGAGUGGGCAAUUUUGAUUGUCCCCAUCCAUGGUUAUUCGAAAAGGUUGUUGAGGCUUGCAGAGCUUUUACGUUGAGUUCAUAUCGGGGGCUAUUUUAUUCUGCAGAUUUCUGAUUCUUUCUUGCCAUGUGAGAUGGCGACAGGGUUCUCUGUAUAUCUAGUCCAAAUCAUGGAUUAAAACUAUAAUGACCUUGUUGCUUUAUGAUUGGUUAGAAUUAAAGAUGGUGGAAAACUAUAAACCAACAUUGAUUCAAGGUGCUGUGGGCCUGUGGCAUCUAAGUUUUGCAUCUGUGUUAAGAAUUAAGUGAGAUAAUUGUUGAUUUAUCCUUGUUAAUUGACAUUCCCAUUUGAGUUAUUUUUUUUUCCAUUUCAUAUCUUCAUAGAAGCCAUAAUAUAAUAUGGUUUGAUCAUUUCAACCAGUUCCACCCUUCGUAACUAUGAUGCAAUGUAUGGUAUUUUAUAAUUCUACUUUUACUCUAAUGCUCCCAUUUAUUUCAUUUAAUAUGAUAAAAUGCAGCUUGAUACAUCUUUUGGUUUCAGGUAUCAACAAGAAGGCAUAAAUUGGCUAGCAUUUUUAAAGCGAUAUAACCUUCAUGGCAUCUUAUGUGAUGAUAUGGGUCUAGGUAAAACCCUUCAAUCAUCAACAAUCGUGGCAUCUGAUGUAGCAGAGUGCAUUGCUGUUAAUGCUAAUGAUCUACCACCAUCAUUAAUAGUUUGCCCAUCACUGCUUGUUGGGCACUGGGUGAAUGAGAUAGAUAAGUUUAUUGAUUCUUCUCUUUUAGCAUCACUUCAAUACAUCGGUUCUGCUCAAGAGCGCUCGUCUCUUCAACCACAAUUUGAUAAGCACAAUGUUAUUGUAACAUCAUAUGUGAUAUGACGUAGUCCGUAAAGAUAUUGAUUAUCUCAGCCAACUUUUCUGGAGCUACUGCAUUUUGGACGAGGUACAUAUAAUAAAGAACUCAAAGUCCAAAGUCACAGGUGCAGUGAAACAAUUGAAGGCUCAGCACCAUCUGAUACAGAGUGGAACACCAAUCCAGGUUCAUUUUAAUUUUAGCUUCAGUUGGCUAGAAAUUAGCUUGUACUUUACCUGACGAAACUUCUACAUCUAAUUACAGAAUAACAUGUUGGAUCUUUGGUCUCUUUUUGACUUUCUCAUGCCAGGAUUUCUUGGAACAUAAAGACAAGCACGUGAUGUAGCCUAUUUUUCUUUUCCAUCUUUUGUUACGGUGAUUGCGUACUUAUCCCCCUCCCUCUCACAAUUAAAAAAAAAAAACAUUUAUAUGCAUGCUCCUAUGUUUUUAGUAAUUUAUUUAUCAUGAUAUACUCUCAGAAAAUCUCUAGAUGAUCUGUUGCUAAUAUCUUUGUUAGACAAAGUGGAGCAGUGUGUAAACUCUAUUUCCUCUCCCUGGUUACAUGGUUGUACAUGUAUUGAUUUUCAUAUAAUACUCAGUCGACUUCAUAUUACAUAGUUUUGUUGUGAAUGCUUAUUAUUACAUCCUUUUGCAAUCCUUGGAGUGAAGGUGUCACAUAAAUUUAGAUUUCAUCAUUUUUGUGUAAUAUAAUCCUUGUAUUCUUCAUAGAUAAGGCUCUUUUAUUUACCGAUCUAUUCUGUUAUAUGUCCCUAUCCGAACACAAUUGAAGCGUAGCGUCAGUAUCUAUUGCAUUUAAUUGGGUUCUAACCCAUUACCAAAGUAGAGUAGAAUAUUCAUAUUUUGUGGAAUUGUUACUCUUCAAAAAUAUUGAGUUUUAAAAUUGUAUAAUGUCAUGUGGGAUAACGCUGAAGGUUGCAUAUUUAAAUAUUUGGUGUUAAAACUUGUCUCCAAGUUUAAUAUGAUUUUCUUUGCCUACUUUACCUCUCUUUUGGUGCUAAGACUGAUAUAAAAUCAUCUUUAUUUUUAAAGGUUGGAGCUCCAACUCGUGUUGGUCUAGUCGCUUCAGUAGAUGUUAUUGUCCCACCAGGCAACAUUGGACUUGAUCCAUCCCAGACUUCUUUUUUCCAGUUAAUGGUUAUUUUCUGAAUGGAUUGGUGUUCGAACAUGUCUGAACAGCGUGGCUUUCAUGUGGGGAAGAGGGAUGAUGUUAAUGGGUGUAUAGAAAUAUGCAUAUGGGCUGUCCCUAACUCUUUGUUUACAGUUACACAAGGGGGGGAAAGGUUGCAUUAGUGAUGCUGGUUAUAAGUUACGAUGUUAUGCCUCU